CUUUGAAGCAUAUGAGAAUGACGAGCUUCGAAUGGAGAAUAGGCCAAAAGAUGUUCCGGCGUCUCACUUUAAAGAUCUUCUUGAAUAUUGGAACUCCGAUGCCGCCAAGAAAACGUCUGAAACCAAUAUCGAGAAUUGAAAAAAGUUGAAGCAUCCACACACUGCUGGCAAAACAAGUUUUGCUCGAAUCAUCGAGGAAAAAAAAGAAGGAAAUGGCUGAUACUUCGGAUACUCUAUCAAGUAAGGACAUCUUUGUGGCUACAAGAAAAAGAAAACAUGGUCGAG